UACGGGGGGGAGCAAGCGUUUGUUCGGAUUUACUGGGCGUAAAGGGCGCGUAGGCGGCGUGACAAGUCACUUGUGAAAUCUCCGGGCUUAACUCGGAACGGUCAAGUGAUACUGUCGUGCUAGAGUACAGAAGGGGCAACUGGAAUUCUCGGUGUAGCGGUGAAAUGCGUAGAUAUCGAGAGGAACACCUGCGGCGAAGGCGGGUUGCUGGGCUGAUACUGACGCUGGAGGCGCGAAAGCUAGGGGAGCGAACGGG
rnacentral:rRNA from 1 species